rfam:Parabacteroides sp. YL27, complete genome.
ACAUAAACAAAGGGGUGCCACUCCAUAAAGUGUGCUGAGAUUAUACCCUUCGAACCUGACGCGGAUAAUGCCGCCGAAGGGAUUGUUUUCCAUCCCGGU